rfam:Ochotona princeps cont2.376711, whole genome shotgun sequence.
CUGUGUCUUGCUUCAACAGUGUUUGAAUGGAACAG